UACAGAGGGUGCGAGCGUUAAUCGGAAUUACUGGGCGUAAAGCGCGCGUAGGCGGCUUUGCAAGUCGGGUGUGAAAUCCCCAGGCUUAACCUGGGAACUGCAUUCGAGACUGCAUUGCUAGAGUAUGGGAGAGGGAAGUGGAAUUUCCGGUGUAGCGGUGAAAUGCGUAGAUAUCUGGAGGAACACCGGAGGCGAAAGCGGUCCACUGGGCAACUUCUGACGCUGAGGUGCGAAAGCUAGGGUAGCAAACGGG
rnacentral:rRNA from 1 species